CAGGAGUUAGUGUCAGAAUUGAAUUGAAUCGUUGGGUGCCCAACCGUGUGAGAGAACCAGAGGGUUGGAAAAUUGGUGUUGAAAAUGACCAUGUAUUUGGUGUUAGGGAGGAAACAACCCUUCACAUAUCAGUAUAAAAAUAAAUUGUUGGACAUUGUUCUAGGAAUCUUAUACAGCUGUUAAAACUUAAAAUGGCAGCUACAUCCUCAUUGUGAUAAGUGCAUUUUUCUUUUGUAAUUUUGAAGAAUUAGACUUAAACGUGUUUAAGAGAAUAGCAAACUUUACCGCCUCUUAAAUUUGUCCCAGCAACUAACCACUCCUUCCUUCCUUCCUCCCUCCCUCCCUCCUUUCCUUCCUUCCUGCUUUCCUCUUGAAGGAAAUAAUGUAUACGGUGGUCCAUUUCCAAGACAAAGUGCCUUGAAUCAGCUUAGGUCAGCAAACUACAGAAGAACUAGGAUAUACUAGGCCCCUGCUUGGAUAGCAACGCCUGCUUGUCGGCCUCCGUCCCCCACCCCUUCACCUAAACCAAAGAAGUUUUAUUCUAAGAUAAAAGUUUACUAGCUCACUUUAUCUGUUCUUAUCAGCCUGUCCAGCUACUUAGGUCAUUAAGUCAAACACUUAAAGAGCCCUUGAGCUAACUAGGAUUGCAAUGCAUUGUGGGCUGCAAUAAAAUGCAGCAAGACAACCCUAAAAAAAAAAAAAUCACCUAAAGCCCCUACUCAACAAGCAUAAGCAAAGUCCGGGAAGAUAGUGACCCCAUAGUACUCAGCCUCUGAGGAACCGGGGGAGGGAGCUGCGCACUAGGGGAUAAAUUGCUUGUUAAAACUGUACUGGUGGGAGGCUGAGGCAGGAGAAUCACUUGAACCCAGGAGGCGGAAGUUGCAGUGAGCUGAGAUCGUGCCACUGCACUCAAGCCUGGGUGACAGAGCAAGACUCUGUCUCCAAAAGCAAACAAACAAACAAACAAAACUAUACUGGGCGUGCCUGCCUAUCAGACACCCAAUCUUGCAAGACCACCAUUAAAAGUCUCACUUUUGCUGUUCUCCGAGUCUCUGAAUCCAUUCUUUGGGUUUGGAAGGGUGAGUUUGUUUUUCACAAUCUGGUGGCCAUACGGGGAUCUCUGUGCCUGCAUGGAGAGGGGAGACGUGCCCCACUUGAUUUAUGUGGCCCGCUCUGUCUGGAUGUCCCGGCUCCCCACAGAAGCCACAGACAAACCGGAGACCAUGAUUCAGGAGAUAACAAAAGUGACACAGGAAGAAAAGCAGGCACCGCGGCAACCAGACAACCUCGUGCACGAACCACGGUGGGAAAAUGGGACUGUCACCACUUCCAGCCUGGCGACUUGGUGCUAAUUAAGACUUGGAAGGAAGACAAUCUCCACCCAAGCUGGGAAGGUUCCUAUCAAGUGCUCGUGAUCACUGAGACAGCCGUAGGAACAGCUGAACGGGGUGGACACUCACACUCGGGUCAAGAGACUGGUAAAAGAAACCCCAGAAGGAAGGGAAAAAGAAACUUUGCUCUGGUGGAGGAAACAAACAUGGACACAUUGUGAGAGUUCCAGGAAGUGGCCACUUGGAGGUGGUAUCAAAGUGCUGUGGGAAUCCACUUGGGAUUGCUGGAGGAGAAGCCAGUUGCCAUAUUGUGAGGAUGCUCAAGCAACCUUAUGAAGAGGUCUACAUGGUGAAGAACUAAGGCCUACUAUCAAAAACAAACACUAAUUUGCCAGACAUGUGAGUGAGUAUAUUGGAAGUGGAUCCUCCAACCUUCUAAGACUUGACAUGACUACAACCCCUGCCAACACCUUGAAUGAAACUUCAUAAGAGAACCUAAUCCAGAAUCACAUAGCUAAGCUAUUCCUGGAUUUCUGACCCAUAGAAACUAUGAGAUAAUUGCUUCUUGUUUCGAGUCACUAAAUUUGAGGGUAAUUGUUACAUAGCAACAGAUAACCAAUACAAUGAUAAGUGAAGAGUAAGGCCUGAGAAAUGACCGUUUAAUUUAAUAUGAAAGUCACUGACUACUUUGAAAAGAGCAGUUUCAGCAGAGCGAUGUGGGCAAAAGCCUAAUUAAAAUGUGCUCACAGAUAAUGAGAGAAGAGAAAGUGGAGACAGAUAACUGACCAUUCUUUCCAUAAGUUUUGCUGUAGGCCGGGCGCUGUGGCUCAUGCCUGUAAUCCCAGCACUUUGGGAGGCCGAGGCGGGCAUAUCACCUGAGGUCAGGAGUUUGAGACCAGCCUAGUCAACAUGGUGAAACCCCGUCUCUACUAAAAAUACAAAAAUUAGCCAGGCAUGGUGGUGCAUGCCUGUAAUCCCAGCUACCAGGAGACUGAGGCAGGAGAAUCGCUUGAACCCAAGAGGCAGAGGUUGCAGUGAGCCAAGAUUGUACCACUGCACUCCAGCCUGGGCAACAGAGCGACUCCAUCUCAAAAAAAAAUUUUUUUUUUUUGCUCUAAAGAGAAGCAGAGACUUGGGACAGUAGCUGAAGGGGGAAGGGCAUUGAGAAAGUUUUUUGCUUUUGUUUUACUUUUAAAAUGGAAGACAAGGUCGGGUGCGGUGGCUCACACCUAUAAUCUUAGCACUUUGGGAGGCCAAGGCAGGCGGAUCCCUUGAGCCCAGGAGUUCAAGACCAGCCUGGGCAUGGAGAAACCCCAUCUCUACAAAAAAAUACAAAAGUUAGCCAGGCUUGGUGGUGUGCACCUGUAGUCCCGGCUACUCAGGAGGCUAAAUUGGGAGGAUCGCUUGAACUUGGGAGGUUGAGGCUUCCGUGAGCCGAGAUCAUGCCACUGCACUCCAGCCUGGGUGACAAAGUAAGACCCUGUCUCAAAAAAAAAAAAAGAUGGAAGAUAGUAUAGCCUGACAUAUAUGCUGAUGGGAAUGAGCCGAGAGAGAGACAAAUUUCAGAUAAAGGGAUGAAUGGCUGCCAAGCCUAAUGUCCUUGAGUAGUUGAGAGAAGAGAUCUAGUAGCCAAGUCAAAGAGUUGACCUUGGGAGCACAGACUGUUCAAGGAGGGCAGGGAGAAUGUGUAAGCAUAGAUACUAUCAGUGGGUAGAUGUGCCUGAAUCUUCUCUGAAGGUUAGGAAGCCAUGUCAUCAGUAGAGAAGGAGAAGGGCAGAAGGUGUAGGAGGUUGGAGAAGAUGUGGAACAGUCAUUCAGGACAGCAGGCUGAGGUAUAAGGCAACUUUCCAAGAAGUUUACAGCCUGGAUUUUUUUUUUUUUUUUAGACGGAAUCUUUCUUUGUUGCCCAGGCUGGAGUGCAGUGGCAUGAUCUUGGCUCACUGCAACCUCCACCUCCCAGGUUCAAGCAAUUCUCCUGCCUCAGCCUCCCAAGUAGCUGGGACUACAGGUGCGCACCACCAUGCCUGACUAAUUUUUGUAUUUUUUUAGUAAAGACGGGGCUUUACCAUGUUGGCCAGGCUGGUCUUGAACUCCUGACCUUGUGAUCCACCUACCUUGGCCUCCCAAAGUGCUGGGAUUACAGGCGUGAGCCACCGUGCCCGGCCCAGCCUGGAUAUUUUUAAGAAAAUAAGUAACCAAAUACUCAGUUUCCAUGUGCUCCUUUCUCAAAAUUGUUCUAUUUUCCUAAAAUAGAAAUGCCACCUACCCUUCCUCAGUUGCCCUUCUUCUACUUUACAGAAGUCACAUUUCCCAGGCAGCCCAAAUCUUACCAUACUAAGCCAGUAUAAGAGGGUGUUCAUGCUUCCUAACUCUGGAGCCAGACUGUGUCGAAUUGCAUCUAUUCAGUUCUGCUAUUGACCAGCUGUGGUAGCCAGUCUCCACGAUGGUUUCCAAUGUCCUUGCCUCUGGAUAUUCACACCUUUGAGUUGUCCCCUACCUCACUGAAUCACAGCUAGUCUGUGUCAUUAAUGUGUGACUUCUCAGGCUAGAACAUAAAGGGCAUUUCAGCCCUCACCUUGCUGUCUUGGAUUGCUUACUAUUGAGUAACCUAACCACCAUGUCAUAAAGACACUCAAGCAGCCCUUAUGGAGAGGCUCAUAUAGAAGAGAACUAAGACUUUCCACUAACAACCAACACUCACUUACCCAGCAUGUGACUGAGCCACCUUAGAAAUAGAUCCUUCAGUGCGGGGCAUGGUGGCUCACACCUGUAAACUCAGCACCUUGGGAAGCCGGGGCGGGCAGAUCACUUGAGUCCAGGAAUUCAAGACAAACCUGGGCAACAUGGUGAAACCCCAUCUCUACAAAAUACAAAAAUUAACCGGGUGUGGUGGCUCAUCCCUGCAAUCCCAGCACUUGGGGAGGCUGGGAGGAUCACCUGAGCACAGAGGUUCAAGACCAGCCUGGGAAACAUAGGGAGAUGCCAUCUCUACCAAAAAAAAAAAAAAAAAAAAAAUUUAGCCAGGCAUGAUGGCAUACACCUGUGGUCCUAGCUACUUGGGAGACUGAGGUAGGAGGAUCACUUUGAGCCCAGGAGGUCAAGGCUGCAAGUGAGCCGUGAUUGCACCACUGCACUCCAGUUUGGGUGACAGAGCAAGACCUUGUCUCAAAUAAUAAUAAUAAUAAUAACAAAGAAAAAAAUACAAGCUACAAACUAAAAGAAAAUAUUUGCAAGAAAAUACCUGAUAUCCACAUAUCAGAUCAAAGACUGUUAUGUAGAAUAUAUAAAGAACUCUUGGCCAGGCAUGGUGCUCAUUCCUAUAAUCCCAGCACAUUAGAAGGCCGAGGUGGAUGGAUUACCUGAGGCCAGGAGUUCGAGACCAGCCUGGCCAACACGGUAAAACCCUAUCUCUAAUAAAUAUAUAAAAAUUAGCCGGGCUUGGUGGCACAUGCCUGUGGUCCCAGCCACUCGGGAGGCUGAGGCAGGAGGAUCACUUGAACUUGGGAGGCAGAAGUUGCAGUGAGGUGAGAUCACGCCACUGAACUCCAACCUGGGUGACAGAGCAAGACUCCAUCUCAAAACAAAAACAAAACUCAACAGUAAUAAAAAAACAAACAUCUCCAUUAGAAAAUGGGCAAAAACUAUGAAGAGACAUUUCAUCAAAAAGAGUAUGUAGAUGGCACAUAAGCACACUGGGUGUGGUGGGUCAUGCCUGUAAUCCCAGCACUUUGGGAGCCCGAGGCCGGCAGAUCAUGAGGUCAGGAGAUCAAGACCAUCCUGACCAACGUAGUGAAACCCCGUCAUGCCUGCCUGUAGUCCCAGCUACUAAAGAGGCUGACGCAGGGGAAUCGCUUGAACCCAGGAGGCAGAGGCUGCAGUGAGCAGAGGUGGCACCACUGUACUCCAGCCUCAGUGACAGAGCAAGGCUAUCUCAAAAAAAGAAAAAAGAAAAGACGUUCAAUAUCACUAGUCACAGGAAAAUGCAAAUGAAGAUUACCAUGAGAUAGCACUCCACACCUAGUAGAACAGCUAUAAUAAAAAAGCUAUGAUAAUACCAAAUGCCAGUGAUGAUGUGGAGAAACAGUAUCUCUCAUACAUUGCUGGUGGGAAAGUAAAAUAGAACAGCCACUUUGCAAGACAGUUAGGCAGUUUCUUUUUUAAAAAAAGUAGACAUUUACCAUACAACACAGCAGUUGCACUCCUGGAUAUUUACCCCAGAAAAAUGAAAAUUUGCAUCCACCCAAAAACAAACACAUGAAUGUUCACAGCAGCUUAAUUUGUGCUAGCCAAAAACUGAAAACAAUCAAGAAGUCUCUCAAUAGGUGGACGGUAAAACAAACUGGUACAUCCAUAUCAUGUAUUACUCAGCAAUAAAAAGGAAAAAACUAUUGGCAUACACAACAACUUAGAUGGAUCUCAGAGUCAUUAUUCUGAGUUAAAAAAAAGCCAACUUCAGGCUGGGUGCAGUGGCUCACACCUGUAAUCCCAGCACUUUGGGAGGCUAAGGCAGGCGGAUCACUUGAGGUCAGGAGUUUGAGACCAGCCUGGGCAACAUGGUGAAACCCUGUCACUACUAAAAAUACAAAAGUUAGCCAGGCAUGGUGGCAUGCGCCUGUAAUCCCAGCUACUCAGGAGGCUGAGGCAGGAGAAUCGCUUGAACCUGGGGGUCAGAGGUUGCAGUGAGCUGAGAUUGAGCCACUGUACUCCAGCCUGGGUAACAGAGCCACUGUACUCCAGCUUGGAUAAAAGAGCAAGACUCUGUCUCAAAAAGAAAGAAAAAAAAAAGCCAACUUCAAAAUGUCACAUGAUUCUAUUUAAAAACAUUUUCAAAAUAACCAAAUUACAGAGAUGGAAACAAAUUAGGAGUUGCCAGGGGUUAGAUACUUUUUGAAAGUAAGUAAACAAUUCAAUUCAUAAUAACAUUGAAUAGAAUAAAAUACUUGGGAAUAAAUUUAACAAAAGAAAAACUCUGAAAACUAUAAAAACAUUGUCAAAAGAAAGUAAAGAUCUAAAUAAAGGGAGAAUAUACCAUGUCCAUGGAUUAGAAGACCUAACACUGUUGUGAUGGCAAUACUCCCCAUACUGAUCAGGUUUAAAGCAGUCCCUGUCAGGACACAUACACACCAUGGAAUACUAUGCAGCCAUAAAAAAGAAUGAGUUCAUGUCUUUUGCAGGGACAUGGAUGAAGCUGGAAACCAUCAUUCUCAUCAAACUAACACAGGAACAGAAAACCAAACACCACAUGUUCUCACUCGUAAGUGGGAGUUGAACAAUGAGAACAUAUAGGCACAGAGAGAGGAACAUCACACACCAGGGCCUGUUGGGGGGUGAGGGGCAAGGGGAGGGAUAGCAUUAGGAGAAAUACCUAAUGUAGAUUAUGGGUUGAUGGGUGCAGCAAACCACCAUGGCACAUGUAUACCUAUGUAACAAACCUGCAUGUUCUGCACAUGUAUCCCAGAACUUAAAGUAUAAUAAAAAUUUUUUUAAAAAUUAGAUAAAUUGGACUUCAUCAAAAUUAACAGCUUUUGUGUCUCAAAGGACACUAUGAAGAAUGUGAAAGAAGAAUGUGAAGGGCCAGGUGCAGUGGCUCACACCUGUAAUCCCAGCAUUUUGGGGGCCCAAGGCAGGCAGAUUGCUUGAGGUCAGGAAUUCAAGACCAGCCUGGGCAACAUGGCAAAACCCCAUCUCUACUAAAAAUACAAAAAUUCACCAGGUGUGGUGGUGGGCACCUGUAAUCCCAACUACUUGGGAGGCUGAGGCAGGAGAAUCGCUUGAACCAGGGAGUUGGAGGUUGCAGCAAGCCAAGAUCGUGCCACUACACUACAGCCUGAGUGACAGAGUGAGACUCUGGU
rnacentral:lncRNA from 1 species